GUUGGGUGUGGUGAUGCACAUCUGUAGUCCUAGCUACUUGGGAAGCUGAGGCAGGAGGAUUGCUUGAGUUCAGGAGAUGGGGGCUGCAGUGAGCCAUGGUUGUACCACUGCACUCUAGCCUGGACAACAGGGCAAGACCCUGUCCCCU
ensembl:misc_RNA Metazoa_SRP Metazoan signal recognition particle RNA